rnacentral:piRNA from 1 species
UGAAACGGAGAAUUCUGCCCUAAAGAGCCAG